GCAACACAAAAUCCUUCAAAGGAAAAUCAUUCGGCACUAUCGAGAAGCUAGCAAAACCAUUAGGAGCACACGACUGCGACUGCAACGAUAGGCCAGCAGCAGAACUUGAUGCUCAAGCCAUCGACGUCCGUCAAAAUCACGAUUAUAGCGAUAAUAGCAUCGCUAGGCUAAAUGCCCAAAUCGACCACAUAUUUGGCACUAAAUUCGAGAGUAAAACCCUCUACCACGACCGCUAGUCAGAGGGCGGCCACCACGAACCGACUCCACCAGCGAUGGCGAUGGAAUAGACUCCGUAAGAUUGGCAUGGAUCGGCACCUCUGGAAGCGCUCGCAACUGUCGACUCUCAUAUUCGAGUAGCACAUCAACGAGACGCUGAAAUGGCAAGCUUUCAGAUGAGAAUAAUGCUAACGUAAUCACAGCAUCGAACUCCGGUGGAUGACCUACAAGGAUAAUCUCAACUUUCUCUGCCUGCGAGAUCCGAGAGCCAGAGGCAUCGAUCAAGGCAUAGGUAUUUUGUAUUCUUGCUAUAUAGUCUUUGAUUGAGAGGUUACCUUUCUUAACAGAAUGCAAUUCAUGACGAAUUCUUUACAACUUCGCACCAGUGACUGUUGCGAAGAGACGAGUGGUCGUAGUCCAAACAUCACAGGUCGUUCAAGCGUCAGUAAAGGAGGAUAACAGCGAGGGAUGAAUAGUACAGAGUAACCAGGAGGCAAGCAAUCGAUCUUGUUGAGUAAAUGCAGAUGCAUUCAGAUUUGGAAAGAGAGAUCCUUGAGAUGAUUGCACGAAACGCGGCGGAGCAAGUAAUGUCCCAUCCAAAAAGCCAGUCAAUUCGUAACCUUUAACGAUUAACUGAAUGUGUUGCUACCAUUGAACGAAAAUUCCAUUAUCUAGCUUAACAGUGUCAUGGCGAGGAAAGGAGUUAAUGAUCUGAUCACCAGUAAACGUCGAGCAGCCAGGCUCGGCAAAAGCAAAAUUAGCAGAAGUAGUGGUAGUCAUGAAUGUGAAUGAAAAUCAGGACUCCAACAUCGAGGCGACUGAUACCAUGUUAAGAUCCAGAGUGAGCUAAGUAAAAUAU
rnacentral:lncRNA from 1 species